ACCCUUGUGGAGGAGGACGCCGAAGGUGGGGCUAAUGACUGGGGUGAAGUCGUAACAAGGUAGCCGUACCGGAAGGUGCGGCUGGAUCACCUCCUAACAGGGAGACAACAAAAUGUAAAUAUUAAUUUUGUCACCUUAGGUCGAUCGGUAUCUCAGAUUCUUAAUUUUUUGAGAAUUUCAGUUUCUAAGUUUUUUCUAGGUCACACCCAUCACUUUUUCCUGGGCCAUUAGCUCAGGUGGUUAGAGCGCACCCCUGAUAAGGGUGAGGUCCCUGGUUCAAGUCCAGGAUGGCCCAUAUCUCUAUGUUGGGGGUAUAGCUCAGUUGGUAGAGCGCCUGCUUUGCAAGCAGGAUGUCAGCGGUUCGAGUCCGCUUACCUCCACUGAAUACCACCUCUUCCAUAUUUUUAAAGAGGGAAAUUGUUAUGUGUCGUGUCCUAAUUUGCUCUGAGCGAAUCCAGCUUCCUAUUUUUUAUUAAUAAAUAAGAUGCUGGACUCAUUGAAUUAACAUUCACUGUUUCCAGAGAACCUUGACAACUGCAUAGAUUAUUUUUGAAGACAAUAAGCAUCUUUAAUGAUGCAGAUUUAUUAUUUGUGCAAAUGCAUUAAAUAACAAUUCUAUUAAGCUGAUACUUCAAUUAUUGAAGUUAUUGGUCAAGCUACAAAGGGCUCACGGAGGAUACCUAGGC
rnacentral:misc_RNA from 1 species